rnacentral:rRNA from 1 species
AUUGAACGCUGGCGGCAUGCCUUACACAUGCAAGUCGAACGGCAGCACGGACUUCGGUCUGGUGGCGAGUGGCGAACGGGUGAGUAAUAUAUCGGAACAUACCCAGUAGUGGGGGAUAACUAUCCGAAAGGAUAGCUAAUACCGCAUACGAUCUGUGGAUGAAAGCAGGGGAUCUUCGGACCUUGUGCUAUUGGAAUGGCCGAUAUCUGAUUAGCUAGUUGGUAGGGUAAAAGCCUACCAAGGCGACGAUCAGUAGCUGGUCUGAGAGGACGACCAGCCACACUGGAACUGAGACACGGUCCAGACUCCUACGGGAGGCAGCAGUGGGGAAUUUUGGACAAUGGGGGCAACCCUGAUCCAGCAAUGCCGCGUGAGUGAAGAAGGCCCUCGGGUUGUAAAGCUCUUUUGUCAGGGAAGAAACGGAGUUCUCUAAUAUAGGAUUCUAAUGACGGUACCUGAAGAAUAAGCACCGGCUAACUACGUGCCAGCAGCCGCGGUAAUACGUAGGGUGCAAGCGUUAAUCGGAAUUACUGGGCGUAAAGCGUGCGCAGGCGGUUUUGUAAGUCUGAUGUGAAAUCCCCGGGCUCAACCUGGGAACUGCAUUGGAGACUGCAAGGCUAGAGUGUGUCAGAGGGGGGUAGAAUUCCACGUGUAGCAGUGAAAUGCGUAGAGAUGUGGAGGAAUACCGAUGGCGAAGG